CCCUCAGAAAGGCCGUCCUGUAAUAAGAUAACGAGAGGGGUUUCCGUGCGAAACCAACACGACGAGACCCCCGCGGUUGUGGUGAAAGGGCCUUCCACGUAAUGACAGGUUGCCGACUGGCCCCCGACGGGCGAUGGCGGAUCUAGAACGGCAGCUAGCACGCUCCCCGGGCCAGAGUCUCGCGCCUGCGCGACGAUGAUGGCUCCCGGUGGGCCUCCUCUACAGAGGAACAGGCAGAGCCCACCCGAACACUUCUCCGUUGAGAUACCCCCCCAAAAAAAAUCCGUCGCCGCUCCAUCAAUCUCUCCUCGUCCGUUCCUCCAGCCUCAUGCGGGUGCCCCUCAGAGAACGGCCUCAGUAUCCCACUCAUUCCUGGGGUCGGCCGUUGUGACGACGUUGCUGACGGCAGCGUCUCCUGCGAGGAGUGACGGACGGGUCGUGACGACCGCGAGACCGAGACCCGGCGCAGAGGAACCGAUCGUAGCCCGAGGGGUCUGUGAGGGGCUACCCUGUCUCCGCCGGUCACGAUCCCGCUUGGCCCCGGAGCGAGGGGGUGCCGACGCCGCGCCAUCGCACCGUAAACUAGCAGGCGACUGUCAAGAGUAGCCACCUGAACAGUGGCCACCGUCUUCACCGCCCACCUUAGCCCGCUGUUUUGGGGUUGGCCGCCGAGCCGGUCCACCUUGCUUGAUGGCUCUUGGGUGGUCCCGUAGCAGGCGUUCCGCCGCGAGGCAUUCGCGCGCUUCUCGAUGUUCCCGCUGCCCCCACGCACCGUUUGCACGUUCUCUCUUCCGUUCCUUCUCUCCAUCUCUGUCUCUCCCUUUCUCUCAAGCCGCUGGGGGGGGGGAGUGCUGAUAAAGUAGUAGAUGUCUCCGAGGGGAAAAGCAAGUUCUCUUCAACAAUUCCAUCCAAAAAGAAGCGAACUGAGGUUCUCCUUUGGGAACCUUCCAGAUCUCCAAGCUGCUUUGGCAAGAUGCACUGUAGAACUAAGAUAGCAGAAGCAAAACGGGAUCCUAGAUAAAUUCACGGGGAACUGUUCCGUUCCGUGUGCCUCGGGGGGGUUUCCGAACUAAGGCGAACAAGCCAAAAUGUGAUUAAUCAUCAUUACGGAGGAUAUCUGGAGAUCGAGACUAGGGCCUGAUACGGCUGUCGUGCUGAGAAAACCCGUCAGGGGAUUCGAUCUGAAUUUCCUGUCAGGAGUGCGUUCAGCUUCAGUCCGUUCCAUUUGGAGCUGCUCCGAGAUUUAAAACACUUCGCCCCUCCGAAGUUAUUUUCAAGCAGUGGGAAAUGAUCUCAGUCGUUUUUAAAACUUCAAAAGUAUAGCAAAGCGUGAUUUCAAGUGCUCUGAGUGCUUCAGUGGAGUGGCUGUUGGGUAGGGUGGUCAAUAUUUAAUCUAGAAUCAUCUUCCAGUGUGAAUACUAUAUUUUUAUGCAAAAGGUUCGUUUCUGCAUUUGUCUUCUUUUCCAAGAACUCGUUCGGCUGCAAAAUAAUUCGGUGUUUUUUAAGUGAAACCCAAAGUGCUAUCAUUUGAUUUGCGAGAGCAAUGAAUUUUGAACCCGUAGUGCAGUCAGCGGCCUACACUGUUCAACACCAGAUUCCUCUUGAAAACAGUGUUGGUUUACUUCAGCACAGUCUAAGCACUUGUGUCAUAUGGUUUCUGCCAAUACCCCGGUUUACUAUUCGGAAGAUGGAUCGAUUUCUCAUUAUUCAUGUCGUCAGUACUUUCCACGCGCCGAACACCGUGCUCGCCGUUGAAGAGGCCGGGGGGAGAACGGCUAUUAUACAGGCACGAAAGCCGAGACGCAGAGAAGUGCUCUCGGCCAAGGUCGCGCAGCAAAGACGCGGUGACGGAGCCGGGACUGGAACUCAAUUUUCCUGACUCCCCCUCCCUCCUCUCGCUAUUAGGCCACCCAGUUAAUUUUUUGAGCCCUCCGUCGGGAUCAAUAAAUGGCAUUUAUGGAGUGCUGUGUGAGGAACGCUGUACUAAGCAGUUGGGAGGAUAGGCUGUGACAAUAGAGUACAAUAGUCGUUAGUACGGGGUCGGGGGGGGGGGGGGGGGGGUCGAAAAAGUUUGAAAAUGAGAUCUAACGUCGACUCGCCCCUCCCCCCGCGACCCAAGCCUAUUAGUGGUAAUGACAGUGAAUCCUAUUAUUUUAGCAAUAAGGUCAAAGGUGGUUCGUCUUAUUGUUUGUAUGUUUAUACCUGAUUCUUGAAUUAAUUCGCUCCUAAGUUAGACUCAGCCGUCACCCAAGCGAAGAGCUUAAAUUUUUCAUUUGAUGAUAAUGUUAGUAGUAAUGUUGGUAUCUGUUAAGCGCUUACUAUGCGCAGAGCACCGUUCCAAGCGCUGGGGUAGGCACAGGGGAAUCAGGUUGUCCCACUUGGGGCUCCCAGUCUUAAUCCCCAUUUUACAGAUGAGGGAACGGAGGCACCGAGAAGUGAAGCGACUCGCCCACAGUCGCACGGCUGCCGAGUGGCAGAUCCGGGAUUCGAACCCGUGACCUCCGACUCCAAAGCCCGGGCUCUUUCCACUGAGCCACGCUGCAAUCGGUAGUUCAUAUGGAGGACCUAACAGUUGCAGAACGCUAUACUAAGCACCCGUGAAUGUUCGAAAGGAGACAUGAUUCGGCGAGCCCCAUAUGAUCUGCUGAUUUUCUUGAAUCCACUCCAGUGCCUGGCGCACAGUAAGCCCUUAACAAAUACCAUUAUCAUUAUUAUUAUUAUUAUUGAGCUUAAAAUUUAGAUAGAUAGGUGGCAAAAGUACUCAAGUAAGAUUUUGUGCAUUAAAAUUCACUAAAGACGAGAGUGGCAAAGUGUUCAAAGUACCAAAACGUUGCGAUGAUGUAAUCGGAGAAGAAGGAAAAUUAAUUGGGGAAAGCUUCUCCA
rnacentral:lncRNA from 1 species